rnacentral:rRNA from 1 species
UACGUAGGGUGCGAGCGUUAAUCGGAAUUACUGGGCGUAAAGCGUGCGCAGGCGGUUCGUUGUGUCGGCGGUGAAAGCCCCGGGCUCAACCUGGGAACUGCAUUGGAAACUGGCGGGCUUGAGUGUGGCAGAGGGGGGUGGAAUUCCACGUGUAGCAGUGAAAUGCGUAGAGAUGUGGAGGAACACCGAUGGCGAAGGCAGCCCCCUGGGCUAACACUGACGCUCAGGCACGAAAGCGUGGGGAGCAAACAGG